GGUGGUUCUCGAAAGAUGCACCCCAGAAUCGGGCUCCCUCCUUUCUGAUUCCUGGUGCGUCACCUGAGAACCACA
rfam:Myotis lucifugus cont2.1751, whole genome shotgun sequence.